rnacentral:rRNA from 1 species
AUUGAACGCUGGCGGCAUGCCUUACACAUGCAAGUCGAGCGGUAACAGGUCUUCGGAUGCUGACGAGUGGCGAACGGGUGAGUAAUACAUCGGAACGUGCCCAGACGUGGGGGAUAACGAGGCGAAAGCUUUGCUAAUACCGCAUACGAUCUAAGGAUGAAAGCAGGGGACCGCAAGGCCUUGUGCGUUUGGAGCGGCCGAUGGCAGAUUAGGUAGUUGGUGGGAUAAAAGCUUACCAAGCCGACGAUCUGUAGCUGGUCUGAGAGGACGACCAGCCACACUGGGACUGAGACACGGCCCAGACUCCUACGGGAGGCAGCAGUGGGGAAUUUUGGACAAUGGGCGAAAGCCUGAUCCAGCAAUGCCGCGUGCAGGAUGAAGGCCUUCGGGUUGUAAACUGCUUUUGUACGGAACGAAAAGGCUCUGGCUAAUACCUGGGGCACAUGACGGUACCGUAAGAAUAAGCACCGGCUAACUACGUG